rnacentral:rRNA from 1 species
UAACCUGCCCAAGAGAUCGGGAUAACACCUGGAAACAGAUGCUAAUACCGGAUAACAACAGAUGAUGCCUAUCAACUGUUUAAAAGAUGGUUCUGCUAUCACUCUUGGAUGAACCUGCGGUGCAUUAGCUAGUUGGUAGGGUAACGGCCUACCAAGGCGAUGAUGCAUAGCCGAGUUGAGAGACUGAUCGGCCACAUUGGGACUGAGACACGGCCCAAACUCCUACGGGAGGCAGCAGCC